UAGUUUUAUUUUUUAUUCUCUAUUAUAAAUUGUGUUUUGUUAUUGUAUUCUUCGUUGCUUGAACAAUUACGAAGAAUUUUCGUUUCUCACUGACGUAGAAGUUUUAUUGGUUGUUUUAUUGUUUGCAUAACUAAUAAACGUACGCUUCUUA